UACGUAGGCAGCAAGCGUUGUUCGGAGUUACUGGGCGUAAAGGGUGCGUAGGCGGCUUUUUAAGUUUGGUGUGAAAUCUCCCGGCUCAACUGGGAGGGUGCGCCCGAAUACUGAGAGGCUAGAGUGUGGGGAGAGGAAAGUGGAAUUCCUGGUGUAGCGGUGAAAUGCGUAGAUAUCAGGAGGAACACCGGUGGUGUAAACGGCUUUCUGGACCAUAACUGACGCUGAGGCACGAAAGCGUGGGUAGCAAACAGG
rnacentral:rRNA from 1 species